UACGUAGGUCCCGAGCGUUGUCCGGAUUUAUUGGGCGUAAAGCGAGCGCAGGUGGUUUAUUAAGUCUGGUGUAAAAGGCAGUUGCUCAACCAUUGUAUGCAUUGGAAACUGGUAGACUUGAGUGCAGGAGAGGAGAGUGGAAUUCCAUGUGUAGCGGUGAAAUGCGUAGAUAUAUGGAGGAACACCGGUGGCGAAAGCGGCUCUCUGGCCUGUAACUGACACUGAGGCUCGAAAGCGUGGGGAGCAAACAGG
rnacentral:rRNA from 1 species